CGGAAGUUUCAACAAAACUGACCUUUAGCCUAAUUUGAAUAUUCCGGACACUUUUCGUGUUUUGACUUUUUCGAUCCGGAGUACGGUUUUUCCCGGAGUCGGUCCGGCGGAGUUUUGCGGGUAUUUGAAUUGUUGAUAAUUAUCUAGUUUGCCUCGAAAUACGUGAAAGCUAGAUAUUUUGAUUAUUAUAUUACUUUUUAUCGAAAUACGUGCAAAUGGGACCCGCAGACUAAUCAUUGCUUUUAAAAGCCCCGUUUUGAUGAUUAUCUUGAAAACCAGUACCGAUUGGACCCCGCUUUAUUAAUAUAAAGCUAUUAAAUACGUAUUUUCAUGUCAUACACGAUCCAAAGGGGUACCAAUUAUUUGUAAAUAUAAAUAGACCUUUCUAGAGCUUAUUUUCACCGUAGAAAUCAUUUCACCAGUUUCUCUGCACGAAUACCGAGAGAAACCAAGCGGUGUUCUUCGUGUUCUUCAUAAUCAAACGAAGAUUUGAAGGUGUUAUUGGAAUCCGAUGGAGCCGUAUGAAUAGUCAAAACGAAGCUAUCGACGCGUAGAAUCCAGUUUAAUCAAUCAUAACCGUGCAGAUUUCACGGGAUUUGGACGAGACGUGUAUGCCCGAAGACGUUCAGAAAGUCACGUGGUGUUACAAAGCGAAUAAGGGAUGAAUCGAGUAAGCGAAGCAAAGAUGUACGGUAGAUAGAGUAUAGCCAGAGAUGGUCUAGAGACUAUGAGAUGCAUAGAUUGUGAAAGUGGAAAGAUGAGAUUGAGAUUGUGAAUAAGGCUAAUGCUAGGCGAGGAGACAGAAUUGAGGAUCCAGUGGUCGAGGAGUGUUCAGGAAAGUUGAUGAGGUUGGUGCAAGCUAGAGCUGUGCUAUAGGGAUUCAAGUGUAAGUCAUAGCUGGAAUAGUUGACAGUGAUUCUUCUUAUCGAAGAUGAUCUGAUUUGGUAAGAAAUGUUGUGUAAUAUUAGUGGUGGAUUCUAAUUUCAAUACUGUAACCUAGAUGCGAUCCUGUUGCUUUUAGGGGGUUGAAAUGUUCUCUUUCGAAUCAAUUAUUAAAGUUUAAAUGUUCUCUUGAAA